UAGAAUGAGGCUUGUAGGAUUGAGCAUUUAGCUGUUAACUAAGUUUUUGCGGGAUCGAGGCCCGUCUUUCUAG
rnacentral:tRNA from 1 species